ACAGCCUGAAAAUAGCCACAGGGGAGUCUAUGCCUGUGGUUAGAUAUCUGUGCCCACAGCGAAUCGAGGAGCAUAGUAAGUAGCCGUCGGUGACACCCACACAGACCGGCGAAAGGAGUGCUCCCACAUUC